rnacentral:rRNA from 1 species
UACGACUACAUAUCAGGCAUAUCAAUAAGCGGAGGAAAAGAAACUAACUAGGAUUCCCUAGUAACGGCGAGUGAAGCGGGAAGAGCUCAAAUUUGAAAUCUUCAAGGUUCUACCUUGACGAAUUGUAGUUUAAAGAAGUGUUUUCUGUUAGGAGUUAGGUAAAAGUUCUUUGGAAUAGGACAUCAUAGAGGGUGAGAAUCCCGUAUUUGACUAUUCUUUCUAGCUGUGUGAUACACUUUCAAAGAGUCGGAUUGUUUGGGAAUGCAGUCCAAAAUGGGUGGUAAAUUUCAUCUAAAGCUAAAUAUUGGCGAGAGACCGAUAGCGAACAAGUACCGUGAGGGAAAGAUGAAAAGAACUUUGAAAAGAGAGUUAAACAGUACGUGAAAUUGUCAAAAGGGAAGCGUUUGACACCAGUGUUGUUUUUCCGAAAAUCAAUUACGAAUGUUUUGUUUUUGAGGAGUUAUGACUUCAUCGGCUUGCUUCUUUCUUUACGAAACUUUCUUAAUGCACUUUUCGGUUAACAAGUCAACAUCAAUUUCUUUUGUUGUAAAAGGGUACGAGGAAGGUGGCUUUCUUUUCGGAGAAAGUGUUUAUAGCCUUGUACCUCUGCAAUCGGAGAGAUUGAGGUCUGCAGCGUAGAUCCUUCGGGGUUAGAUACAUUUGUGCUAAGUUAUAGCUUUUCAUAGACAACUUGUUGACUAUGUUAAGUCUUGUAGCUUACUCGCUUAUGCUAUUUUACCUACGCUUAGGAUGUUGACACACGCGCGUGCUCG